AAGCCCACAUUGGUAAUCUCCAGGUUUCACCUGGCGAAUUGUAAUCUGAAGAUUGUUAGCCCACCUGGAUAACGCGUCGAAAUGCGUGCGAGCGCGCUGCCAAAGAGGGUGAGAGCCCCGUAAGGUGCGUUGUCCUAACGGUGCUGGCGGUCGAAGAGUCGUGUACUUUGAUACUAGUGCACUAAGCGGGAGAUAAACUUCUUCUAAGGCUAAAUAUAAGUAGGAAACCGAUAGCGAACAAGUACUGUGAAGGAAAGAUGAAAAGCACUUUGAAGAGAAAGUUAAAAGACUUGAAAUCGUUGAGGCGGACCCGGUAGAAAUGUAUUCUAGCGAAGCGCCCUGGGAAGCCUGUAUUCGGGCCACUCGGGCGCUAGCCGAGACAAGAUGGAGUCGCGCGAUGCCAGAGGCGGUGCAGGAGCUUGCUUGCAGGAGCCUGUGCUUGUUGGGUGUCACGCGGCUUGAGGGGCCUUGCGCGAUCUUGUCAAAAUGGUUUUUACCGACUCGUCUUGAAACACGAACCAAGGAGUCUAAGACUAACGCGAGUGUGGUGGUGGAGAAACCAACACGCGAAAUGAAAGUAAAUGAUGCCAAGCACCCUGCAGCAUCGACCGACUUUUUUCUUCUGGAAGAGGUUUGAGUAAGAGCGUUAUUCUUAGGACCCGAAAGAUGGUGAAACUAU
rnacentral:rRNA from 1 species